rnacentral:lncRNA from 1 species
ACGCAUAUAGUUCUUGAGCCGUACGUAGAGGAGGAGCUCAGGUGGUGUGGAGUUUCGUCGACGUCGCGCAGCGGUGCCGUUCGAGCGUGUGUUCGUCGUCGUAGCAUCGCGAGGGGGGCCGGGCGAGGGUCCGAUUCUGCCGUUUUUGUUGUCGCGCCGGAUUGUGAUUAGCGUUUGAGGUGGGUUACAUCGGCUUUACUCCUAAGUUCUUAUUGGUCGACAUGUAUAGAUCUUGAUUUCGGUCAUUAAUUUAGCUCAAAUUCAUGGACUAUAUGUAGAUUGUGAAAUCUGAAUUUUGGAGCAUAUUUUAUAAAUUAAGUAGAUCAUACAUGUUGGACUUGGAAAUUGAAUUAGGAGAAAACCUACGAUUUGGACCUGUCACCAGUUUUAACUACCUGAUUUAGCUCUAGGAGCCGUUAGAAAAUUGUACUGUCGCAGUUCUUCGAGACGAGUACUCCAGGUAGUUUAGAAUGUAUUUACACUCGUGCUCGUUCGCCGAGUGGAUUUUUACAGGGUCGUUCAGGUUGUUUCGGACUGUUGGGUGCCGUCAGAGUUGACGGUGGACCCGUAUCGCCUUUUUGGGCGUCAGAUUGUGCCGAGGGCACGUUACCUAUUGGUUGUUAGACCAGUUUGAGUCGAUUACUUGACUUUGGCUAGUUGGAGCCUGUUUGAGCUCGACAGAGAUACGCUGCAUACUCGGUUGGGUAGCGCCCACGAGUGCCACUCCGGAGUCAGGCUUGUGCUUUCGCGUUGGUGUCGCUCAUGCCAGUUGGACUUGCUCUCCACGGACCAGUUGGUGUGGAGGUAGCUGGAUAGUCGCAACGGGGCAGGGACGGGUGUGUUCACACUCCCAGGGACGGGUAUGCUUAUAGUCCCGAUUGGAUUGGGUCAGAUUGACAUUUCCUACAGUUGGUUAGUGUAGAGCAUGAUAGUGUAGUAAUUGAUAGCGGUAGAGCGUACUUCCUGCUUUUCCUACUAUUCUUGCUCCCUUCUGUAGACUUAGUGGGUGACCGAUGUUGUUUUGGGCGGUACCCACUGAGGACUACUUGUUUUUACAGUAGUUCUCACGCCCAGUUGUUACUCUUGUUUUGCAGAGCCAUAGGUUUCGGCUGCUGCGCCUUCCGCGGAUCAGGAUCGAGGCAAGGGCGUCGCGAGUUAGAGCCCUACCUGACGAGCAGAGUUAGAGGCACCCCUACUGCAGGUAGAUGUUUUGUUUCGAGUUUAUGUACAUAGUUUACCUAACUCGCCAGUGCGAGUAACUCUGUAUUUUGGAUUUGAGCUAUGUAUAUGAAACUCAAUUUGUUUAGCUUUUGUUUUCUCUAGCAGCUCUAUACUACUGUUUGUAGUAUUGUAUGUUUACAGGUACAGCUGUCGCUUCGUAUACAGGGAAAAUUCCUUUGUAUACGGCGGAUUUGUCGGCGUGCCCGGGGAACGUGUAAUCCGGGGCGUGACAGAUUAAGUUGGUAUCAGAGCUUUGCUAUAGGUCAUUGGGACCUAGGAAACCUAAGUUGGCAAACCUUAGGAAGCAAGACGCGAGAGGCGUGAUUUAAUUGCGGAAGUCGAUGAUUAUUUGUUCUAACUCCUCCUAAAGCGGAGUGAGUGACUGAAGGAGUUCCUGUUUUGGCCUGAGAAAUUAUGUUGGCUGCAGACGACAUAAUUUUGGAGGAAAACAGGGACCGCCUUCCAGACUUUCGUUGAUUGGGUCGAGAGUGUUGUAUUGUAUCUGACCCCGACUUGUUCUUUGCAGCUAUGUAUCGUCGCCGAGGUCGACCUUCGUUACGGGAGCGCGCCGAGUUGGCGCGAGAUCGUGCUGGACCUUCUGAGAGACCCGAGCAGAUGGAGCAGAGUGCUCGGCAGGAGCAGAGUGACAGACCGGAGGCGAGUGCACCCCCUGUUGUAGGGCCGAGUGCGCAACCUGAGGCUGGCGCACCCCCUGACCUAAGUGCACAGUUGGUUGCCCUGACUGAGGUGACGAGGCAGCAGGGGGAGUUGUUGCAGAGGUUGUGUGAGAGAAUAGCUCAGUCACCGAGUUCAGCACCGAGUAUACCAGAGCAUACUGUUCCCCCACCGACUACUCCAGUGUCAGCUCCAGCCGCAGCUAUGCCCCCACCAGUGGAGCUUCCUACAGCGCCAGUUGCGCCUGCUAGGGGACCCGUACAGUUGACAGAGGCCGAGCAGGAGCGAUGGACGGAGAGGUUGGCUCGUUUCCGCUGAUUUGAUCCACCUACUUUCGAUGGCAGCGGCACUGAGGCCUGGGUUGUUGAGGGAUGGGUCAGUGCUAUGGAGAGGUUAUUCGAGGAUCUGUACGUUCCAGAGGGGGAGCAGGUACCUUUGGGAGUACAUUGUUUGUCAGGUGAUGCACGUGAUUGGUGGCGGAGAGCGAGGCGAGACCAGGGACUAGUGGCGGCACAGCUGAGGUCGGAUGAGUUCUGUGGAAUGCUGUAUGGGAUGUAUUUUCCCAACAGCAUGAAACAGAAGAUUGAGGAGGAUUUAAAGAGGAUCCAGCAGGGCGAGCGGACAGUUCAGGAGUAUGUUCGGGAGUUUACUAGACUCUUGAACUGUGUUCCGUUCGUGGCCAGAGACGAGGCACAUAGGGUCUACUUGUUUGAGCAGGGUUUGACACCCGACCUAUUCAGGUUUGUUAGGGCGCAGAGGUCGAGGACUUUGGACGCGUCCAUUGAGCAGGCACUAUGGGAGGAGAGAGGAGAGGUGUCACUGCGAGAGAGGGCUCAGGGGCCGGGACAGAGUCAGGACAGGAAGCGCCCAGCUCCAAACGACGGAGGACAGUCGAGUAGCAGGCGUCCGCCGAGACCUCCACGAUCGCGUUCUCAGGGUCGUGGGUUCUCGGGACGUCAGCGAUCCAGAGACUUCCGUCAGCGAGGACAGCCAGAGAGGACGCCGCAGUGUGUGAUCUGCGGAGGACCACACUGGCCCAGACAGUGUGAGCAGAGGGAGGGCCGGUGCUACGGAUGUGGUCAGCCGGGACACAUGAGGGCAGCUUGUCCCAGAGCAGCAUCUCCAGCACCAUCAUCUGCUUCAGCUCCACCAGCACCUCAGCAGACUUAUAGAGCAGCACCGAGUUACCGCCAGGAUGAUAGAUCGUCCAUGCCGCGACAGAGUGAGCGUCGACAGCAGGCUCCGAGUGGUAGAGUCUAUGCAGCUCAGGUGGAGGACUCUACAGCAGCCGACCGAGUGGUGGCAGGUAUCACUUUGAUUUCUGGCAUUAGAGUUCACACUCUUUUUGAUACUGGUGCAACGCAUUCCUUUGUUAGCCGAGCAUUUGCAUUGUUGCAUGGUCUAGAGUUAGGGGCAUUGUCACAGGCACGAGAGGUGCAGAUCCCGGACCAUGUUUUACAGGUUGCGGAGUGUUGUUGGUCGUGUCCGGUGCAGUUGGACUCGUGGGUCAUGCCCGCAGACCUGUUGGUGUUAGGGCAGCUGCAGGACUUCGACGUCGUGCUCGGUAUGGAUUGGCUUGCGCGGUACUAUGCUACGAUCGACUGUGGAGCGAGGACGGUGACGUUCCGCGAGCCAGGUCAGGAAGAGUUCACAUUCAGAGGCUGCAGGAGUACGCUAUUUGCCACCUGGAUAUCUUCGGCGAGGGCUCGACAGAUGCUGAGUAGCGGGUGUAUCGCUUUCCUAGCGACUGUUGUGGAGGUACCUACGGCGGCGCCGGGACUUGAGGACAUCCCAGUAGUCCGCGAGUUUCCGGAUGUAUUUCCCCCUGAGUUGACGACGUUGCCGCCGGAGAGGGAGAUUGAGUUUGUGAUUGAUGUGGUUCCUGGAACUGCACCAAUCUCAAAGGUACCUUAUCGGAUGGCGCCGGCAGAGCUGAGAGAGCUAAAGGCACAGCUUCAGGAUUUGAUGGAUAAAGGGUUUGUGAGACCCAGUGUGUCGCCUUGGGGAGCGCCAGUGCUAUUUGUAAAGAAGAAGGAUGGUUCACUCAGGUUAUGUGUGGAUUACCGGGAGCUGAAUAAAGUGACCAUCAAGAAUAAGUAUCCACUGCCGCGCAUUGAUGAUUUAUUUGAUCAGUUGCAGGGAUCCUUCGUCUUCUCGAAGAUUGAUCUCUAGUCAGGUUACCACCAGCUGAGGGUGAGGGCCGAGGAUGUUCCCAAGACGGCUUUUCGGACUUGGUACGGGCAUUAUGAGUUUACAGUAAUGCCUUUUGGAUUGACAAAUACCCCUGCCGCAUUCAUGGAUUUGAGGAACAGAGUGUUCAAGCCGUUCUUGGAUAGAUUUGUGGUAGUCUUCAUCGACGACAUCCUGAUAUACUCCCGGAGUGAUGCUGAGCAUGAGGAGCACUUGAGGAUUGUGCUACAGCUUCUGCGAAAGAAGAAGCUGUAUGCCAAGUUGAAGAAGUGCGAGUUCUGGCUUCGGGAGGUUGCUUUCUUGGGCCACGUGAUUUCAGCCGAGGGCGUAGCAGUGGACCCGAAGAAGAUUGAGGCGAUUCGAGAUUGGCCUAGACCGACGACGGUGACUGAGGUACGGAGCUUCCUGGGACUGGCAGGAUAUUACCGUCGGUUUGUGGAAGGCUUUGCGAAACUUUCCACACCCCUCACACGCUUGACGCGAAAGGGGAUUCGUUUUGUUUGGAGCGAUGACUGUCAGAGGAGCUUUGACGAGUUGAGACUGAGGUUGACAUCAGCUCCUAUCCUUGCCCUUCCGGUGAUGGGGGAUGGAUUUGUGAUCUACAGUGAUGCAUCGCACAGUGGACUUGGUUGCGUGCUGAUGCAGCAUGGUAGGGUGAUUGUUUAUGCUUCACGGCAAUUAAAGGAUUUUGAGAAGAAUUACCCUACGCAUGACUUGGAGCUUGCCGCGGUGGUUUUUGCUUUGAAGCUCUGGCGGCAUUACCUGUACGGCGAGCACUGCGAGGUUUUCACCGAUCAUCAAAGUCUCAAGUAUCUGUUCACACAGAAGGAGCUGAAUCUGAGGCAGCGCCGGUGGUUGGAGUUACUGAAGGACUAUGACAUUAGUAUUCAGUAUCAUCCCGGCAGGGCGAAUGUGGUGGCAGAUGCGUUGAGCAGGAAGUCAGUGCAGAGCCUGAGUUUGAGGAUUACUGAGGAGAGACCCCUACUCGAGGAGUUACAGCGGCUGGGACUCGAGAUAGUACCCCCUGGGUUUACGGCGAGGCUGACGUCUCUAGUAUUACAGCCCACUCUGUUGGAUAGAAUCCGAGAGAAACAAAGUGGAGAUCCGUACUUGUUGAGGAUUAGAGAGCAGUUAGACAGGGGGCAGGCUGAGGGAUUUGCUUUGGACAGUUCGGGAGUACUACGGUACAGGGACCGACUGUGUGUGCCUGUGGAUCCGGAGAUUCGAGCGGAUAUUCUGAGAGAGGCUCAUUGUUCCCCUUAUACGGUUCACCCUGGGGGAACCAAGAUGUAUAAGGAUCUUAAGGCACAGUUUUGGUGGCCUGGAAUGAAGAGGGACAUUGGCAGAUUUGUGGCUCAGUGUUUGACUUGCCAACAGGUGAAGGCCGAGCAUCAGGUGCCUGCUGGCAAGCUUCAGAGUCUGCCAGUUCCCGAGUGGAAGUGGGAGCACACCACGAUGGACUUCGUCGUUGGAUUGCCUAGAGCGCAGGGUGGCUACGACGCGAUUUGGGUGAUAGUGGACAGACUGACCAAGUCUGCUCACUUCCUACCGGUUCAGACUACCUGGUCCAGGGAGAGACUCGCGCAGCUAUACUUGGAUGAGAUCGUUAGGCUGCACGGCGUGCUAGUGUCGAUUGUAUCAGAUAGAGACCCGAGGUUCGUAUCCCAGUUUUGGAGGAGCCUUCAGACAGCCUUGGGUACACAGCUACAUUUCAGCACAACAUUCCACCCACAGACAGAUGGUCAGUCAGAGCGGACCAUUCAGACUCUAGAGGACAUGCUGAGGGCAUGUGUCCUGGACUUUGGAGGAGGGUGGUAUCGACAUUUGAGACUUGUUGAGUUUGCGUACAACAACAGCUAUCAAGCGAGCAUUCAAAUGGCUCCGUUUGAGGCGUUGUAUGGACGCAAAUGUCGAUCCCCCCUAUUUUGGAGUGAUGUGGGUGAGCGGAGGACAUUUGGACCAGAGAUUCUACUUGAGGCUGAAGAAAAGGUGAGAGUCGUUCGACGACACCUUUUGACAGCACAGAGCCGACAGAGGAGCUACGCCGAUACCAGGAGACGAGACUUGGAGUUUCAGGUUGGAGAUCAUAUUUUUCUCAAAGUCUCGCCGUCUAGAGGGAUACGUCAUUUUGGAGUACGUGGAAAGCUUAGUCCACGGUUUGUUGGCCCUUUCGAGGUAUUGGAGAAUAUCGGACCGGUGGCUUACAGGAUAGCUCUAUCCCCGCGACUAGCUGGCAUUCAUGAUGUAUUCCACGUCUCGGCGCUAAGAAAGUAUGUUUUCGAUCCGUCUCAUGUGAUUGACUUCACCCCACUAGAGAUUGGUGAGGACUUGAGGUACGAGGAGCGACCGGUGCGAAUUCUUGCUCGUGAGACGAAAGAAUUGCACAACCGGAUCAUUCCGUACGUGAAAGUGCAGUGGAGCAAUCACGAGGAGCGGGAGGCGACUUGGGAGCCUGAGAAGGUGAUGAGGGAGUCUUACCGCGACCUGUUCGUUGCCCCGUGUUGAGGUAUGUGUUAAGUUUCGAGGACGAAACUUUUUUGUAGUAGGGGAGGAUGUAGUAUCCUUAAUUUUGUUUUUAUUUGAGUUGGUAGACUAGUAGUGGAUAAGGAUGCCACGUGUAACUCUAACCUCAUGCAUCCUUAUCAAUUGAGUUUUAACUGAGGUGUAUAGUUUUUUUAUUUUCAUUUUUACUUCUUCUCUCUUUCUCCAUUCGGCCGAAGUAAGGAGGAGUUCGGGUUGUGCCGCGGAGCUCGAUUUCGACGCCGACGAUGCGCCGCGAAGCCGUUCGAAGGUACGGUUGGGCUCGUAGUGUUGUGAGGAGGCUUGGCAAGGGUCUAUUUCCGCCAUUCUCGACGUCGCGCCGGAUUGGAUUUAGCUUUCGAGGUGGGUUACAUCGGCUUUACUCCUAAGUUAUUAUUGGUCGACAUGUAUAGAUCUUGAUUUCGGUCAUUAAUUUAGCUCAAAUUCAUGGACUAUAUGUAGAUUGUGAAAUCUGAAUUUUGGAGCAUAUUUUAUAAAUUAAGUAGAUCAUACAUAUUGGACUUGGAAAUUGAAUUAGGAGAAAACCUACGAUUUGGACCUGUCACCAGUUUUAACUACCUGAUUUAGCUCUAGGAGCCGUUAGAAAAUUGUACUGUCGCAGUUAUUCGAGACGAGUACUCCAGGUAGUUUAGAAUGUAUUUACACUCGUGCUCGUUCGCCGAGUGGAUUUUUACAGGGUCGUUCAGGUUGUUUCGGACUGUUGGGUGCCGUCAGAGUUGACGGUGGACCCGUAUCGCCUUUUUGGGCGUCAGAUUGUGCCGAGGGCACUUACCUGUUGGUUGUUAGACCAUUUUGAGUCGAUUACUUGACUUUGGCUAGUUGGAGCCUGUUUGAGCUCGACAGAGAUACGCUGCAUACUCGGUUGGGUAGCGCCCACGAGUGCCACUCCGGAGUCAGGCUUGUGCUUUCGCGUUGGUGUCGCUCAUGCCAGUUGGACUUGCUCUCCACGGACCAGUUGGUGUGGAGGUAGCUGGAUAGUCGCAACGGGGCAGGGACGGGUGUGUUCACAGUCCCAGGGACGGGUAUGUUUAUAGUCCCGAUUGGAUUGGGUCAGAUUGACAUUUUCUACAGUUGGUUAGUGUAGAGCAUGAUAGUGUAGUGAUUGAUAGCGGUAGAGCGUACUUCCUGCUUUUCCUACUAUUCUUGCUCCCUUCUGUAGACUUAGUGGGUGACCGAUGUUGUUUUGGGCGGUACCCACUGAGGACUACUUGUUUUUACAGUAGUUCUCACGCCCAGUUGUUACUCUUGUUUUGCAGAGCCACAGGUUUCGGCUGCUGCGCCUUCUGCGGAUCAGGAUCGAGGCAAGAGCGUCGCGAGUUAGAGCCCUACCUGACGAGCAGAGUUAGAGGCACCCCUACUGCAGGUAGAUGUUUUGUUUCGAGUUUAUGUAUAUAGUUUACCUAACUCGCCAGUGCGAGUAACUCUGUAUUUUGGAUUUGAGCUAUAUAUAUGAAACUCAAUUUGUUUAGCUUUUGUUUUCUCUAGCAGCUCUAUACUACUGUUUGUAGUAUUGUAUGUUUUACAGGUACAGCUGUCGCUUCGUAUACAGGGAAAAUUCCUUUGUAUACGGCGGAUUUGUCGGCGUGCCCGGGGAACGUGUAAUCCGGGGCGUGACAUCGUAAGUUUCUUCUCCUCCGCUUAUUGAUAUGCUUAAACUCAGCGGGUGGCCCCGCCUGACCUGGGGUCGCGGUCCGAUGCGGCCCGCCCUUUUCUUUUACAUCGUAAAGGGGGAGGCGCGCGCUCGGGGUGGGGGUCCUCUCGGGGGCCGUUCGCCGCUGGGGCCGGAGGCACGGCGCUCGGCUCGCGGUCGCNCUCCCUUCUGUAGACUUAGUGGGUGACCGAUGUUGUUUUGGGCGGUACCCACUGAGGACUACUUGUUUUUACAGUAGUUCUCACGCUCAGUUGUUACCUAUGUUUUUGCAGAGCCACAGGUGCCGGCUGCUGCACCGUCUGCGGACCUGGAUCGAGGCAAGGGCGUCGCGAGUUAGAGCCCCUACCCGACGUGCUGAGCUAGAGGUGCCCUACUGCAGGUAGAUGUUUUGUUUAGAGUUUAUGUACAUAGUUGACUUAACUCGCCAGUGCGAGUAGCUCUGUAUUUUGGAUCUGAACUAUGUAUAUAAAACUCUGUUUUAUUUAGCUUCAGUUUUCUCUAGCAGCUCUCUACUACUGUUCGUAGUAGUGUUUGAUUUACAG